UACGGGGGGGGGCAAGCGUUGUUCGGAAUUACUGGGCGUAAAGGGCUCGUAGGCGGCCAACUAAGUCGGAUGUGAAAUCCCCAGGCUUAACCUGGGAACUGCAUCCGAUACUGGAUAGCUAGAGUUCGGCAGAGGGAAGCGGAAUUUCGGGUGUAGCGGUGAAAUGCGUAGAUAUCCGAAGGAACAUCAGUGGCGAAAGCGGCUUCCUGGCCUGUUCUUGACGCUGAGGCGCGAAAGCUGA
rnacentral:rRNA from 1 species